UACAGAGGGUGCGAGCGUUGUCCGGAAUCACUGGGCGUAAAGGGCGCGUAGGUGGCGCGACAAGUCAGUGGUGAAAGCUCGGCGCUCAACGCCGAGUCGGCCACUGAUACUGUUGGGCUUGAGCACUGUAGAGGCAGAUGGAAUUCCGGGUGUAGCGGUGGAAUGCGUAGAGAUCCGGAAGAACACCGGUGGCGAAGGCGGUCUGCUGGGCAGUAGCUGACACUGAGGCGCGAAAGCCAGGGGAGCGAACGGG
rnacentral:rRNA from 1 species